UAUUGGAAGUUUGAUCCUGGAUCACGACAAACGCUGGCGGCGUGCCUAAUACAUGCGAGUCCAGCGGACAGAAAGGAGCUUGCUCCCGGAAGUCACCGGCGGACGGGUGAGUAACACGUGGGCGACCUGCCCUGCAGAUUGGGAUAACUCCGGGAACCCGGGGCUAAUACCCAAUAACAUUGGAAACCUCAUGGUUUCCUUUUAAAAGGCGGCUUCCGCUGUCACUGCAGGAUGGGCCCGCGGCGCACUAGCUAGUUGGUAAGGUAACGGCUCACCAACGGCGACGAUGCGUAGCCGACCUGAGAGGGUGAUCGGCCACACUGGGACUGAGACCCCGCCCAGACUCCUACGGGAGGCAGCAGUAGGGAAUCUUCCGCAAUGGACGAAAGUCUGACGGAGCAACGCCGCGUGAGUGAAGAAGGUUUUCGGAUCGUAAAACUCUGUUGUCAGGGAAGAACAAGUACGGGAGUAACUGCCCGUACCUUGACGGUACCUGUCCAGAAAGCCACGGCUAACUACGUGCCAUCAGCCGCGGUAAUACGUAUGUGGCAAGCGUUGUCCGGAAUUAUUGGCGCGUAAAGCGCGCUGCAGGCGGCCCUUUUAAGUCUGAUGUGAAAGCCCACGGCUCAACCGUGGAGGGUCAUUGGAAACUGGAAGGCUUGAGUGCAGAAGAGAAGAGCGGAAUUCCUCGUGUAGCGGUGAAAUGCGUAGAGAUGUGGAGGAACACCAGUGGCGAAAGCUGGUUUUUUGGUCUGUAACUGACGCUUGAGGCUCCGAAAUUGUGGGGGAGUGAA
rnacentral:rRNA from 1 species